GCCCGAAGAAAUUCGGAUUAAUACCCCAUGUGAUCGUAAGAUUAAAGGCGGCGUAAGCUGUCGCUUCGGGAUGGGCUCGCGGCCUAUCAGCUUGUUGGUGAGGUAAUGGCUCACCAAGGCGAUGACGGGUAGCUGGUCUGAGAGGAUGAUUAGUCACACUGGAACUGAGACACGGUCCAGACACCUACGGGUGGCAGCAGUCGAGAAUCAUUCGCAAUGGGCGGAAGCCUGACGGUGCGACGCCGCGUGGAGGAUGAAGGCCCUAGGGUCGUAAACUCCUGUCAUCAGGGAGUAAGGGCUCAUAUAGUAACUGCUAUGGGUCUUGAUAGUACCUGAAGAGGAAGGGACGGCAAACUUCGUGCCAGCAGC
rnacentral:rRNA from 1 species